rnacentral:rRNA from 1 species
UACGAAGGGGGCUAGCGUUGCUCGGAAUUACUGGGCGUAAAGGGCGCGUAGGCGGACAGUUUAGUCAGAGGUGAAAGCCCAGGGCUCAACCUUGGAAUUGCCUUUGAUACUGGCUGUCUUGAGUUCGGGAGAGGUGAGUGGAAUUCCGAGUGUAGAGGUGAAAUUCGUAGAUAUUCGGCGGAACACCAGUGGCGAAGGCGACUCACUGGCCCGAUACUGACGCUGAGGCGCGAAAGCGUGUGGAGCAAACAGG